rnacentral:rRNA from 1 species
GACGAACGCUGGCGGCGUGCCUAAUACAUGCAAGUAGAACGCUGAAGGAGGAGCUUGCUCUUCUGGAUGAGUUGCGAACGGGUGAGUAACGCGUAGGUAACCUGCCUGGUAGUGGGGGAUAACUAUUGGAAACGAUAGCUAAUACCGCAUAAUAACAGUUGUUGCAUGACGACUGUUUGAAAGGUGCAAUUGCAUCACUACCAGAUGGACCUGCGUUGUAUUAGCUAGUUGGUGGGGUAACGGCUCACCAAGGCGACGAUACAUAGCCGACCUGAGAGGGUGAUCGGCCACACUGGGACUGAGACACGGCCCAGACUCCUACGGGAGGCAGCAGUAGGGAAUCUUCGGCAAUGGACGAAAGUCUGACCGAGCAACGCCGCGUGAGUGAAGAAGGUUUUCGGAUCGUAAAGCUCUGUUGUAAGAGAAGAACGAGUGUGAGAGUGGAAAGUUCACACUGUGACGGUAUCUUACCAGAAAGGGACGGCUAACUACGUG